rnacentral:rRNA from 1 species
UACGAAAGGAGCAGGUGUUAUUCAGAUUAACUGGGCGUAAAGGGUGCGUAGGUGGUUUGUUAUGUGUACUAUAAAAUUAUAAAGCAUAACUUUAUACUGUAGUGUAGACAACUAAACUAGAGUUAGGUAGAGGGUAGUGGAAUUCCCGGUGUAGUGGUGAAAUGCGUAGAUAUCGGGAGGAACACCAGUGGCGAAGGCGACUACCUGGCCUGUUCUUGACGCUGAGGCGCGAAAGCUAGGGGAGCAAACGGG